GUCUACGGCCAUGCUAUCCCGAAUAAGCCCGAUCCCUUCUGAUCUCAGAAGCUAAGCAGGGUUGGGCCUGGUUAGUACUUGGAUGGGAGACCACCUAGGAAGACCAGGUGCUGUAGGCA
rnacentral:rRNA from 1 species